UACGGAGGGUGCAAGCGUUGUCCGGAUUUAUUGGGUUUAAAGGGUGCGUAGGCGGCCCGUUAAGUCAGCGGUGAAAUCCCGGGGCUCAACCCCGGAACUGCCGUUGAUACUGGCGGGCUUGAGUUCGGUAGAGGCGGGCGGAACUCAUGGUGUAGCGGUGAAAUGCAUAGAUACCAUCCAGAACCCCGAUUGCGAAGGCAGCUGCCUAGACUGUAACUGACGCUGAGGCACGAAAGCGUGGGGAGCGAACAGG
rnacentral:rRNA from 1 species